GUGAUGCAGACCAGUUUGACAAAUCGUGCCGAAUUUAUACUCAUGCACAACUUUUAAAAAAAAAAUGCUUCGCCGAUCGCAGCCUGAUACGACCACUGAGGUAAAACACUGAACAGUUGGUGCAUUUUUGACACACUAUUGCAGUUUGAUACAGUUUGAAUGGAUUGUGAUCAAGUUUUUGACAUACUAUAGGUUUCUGACACAUAAUAAAUGUGACGAAAGAUCUUAAAAAUUUGAAAUAGGCAAAAUCCCGCUAACAUGUUUAACCCCGC
rnacentral:lncRNA from 1 species